CCUCCCACCGGACAACCACCUGAUAAGUCAUAGGACCCGGAAAUAUCACGCCUCGAUUGGAUUGCUUUGCUUUUCAUCCGCUUGGGCUUUGGGGUCAAAGAAAUAAAGAACAACACACACAAAGACUCAUGCGCUGCAGUCUGAUUUUCUGGUAGUUAUGGUUCUCCUGAGGAUGACCGGGAAUGCGGCAUUGGAAGCGGUACUGCCAGAACUCAGCAAACCAUGGGUUCCUUGUGUUGGUGUCCAAACGCAGCUUCAGAAAGUACUCAUUAAAUGACUGAACUUCUUCCGUUUGCAACUUCAUUGUGAUCCCACCAUCUGCUUCCUGCUCAUAUCCUUCUACCACCUCAUCACGAUCUGCCCAGCCAUCACUUUAGGAGAAAAGAGAGAAGGCAUUUGUGUCAUAAUGAUCCAGCUUUUUUGUAUAAACACAGCUUUCAUAUUUCAUACAAAUGAGAUUCAGUAAACCAGUGGGCACCAAAGCAUUUCACUGUUGAGCUUUGAGUAGUUGUGCAUAGUUGAUCUAAUUUAAUCCCGAAAGAUAAACUGCACAUUUUAGGAUUUUGUAAACAUAUGGAACUUUUGAACAAAUAAAUCAAUUCAAAUUA